GUCAGCAGCUCACCUAGUUCCAAUUGAUCACGAACUGUCAUUCUUCAAUGAUGCACAUCCCUACAUCACUUGUGGCGCUUGUUGGAUCAAGUGGUUAGAACAGAUUGAUAAAGAUUUUUCUUCGCAGUUGGUAAAUUACGUUGCAGCCCUCGAUCCCGAUAGAGAUUUAGAAUUUCUUCGACAUUGUGGUUGGGAACCGAAUCAAAGGUAUAUUGAAAACUUCACGGUCUUUGCCACAUUCUUGAAGAAAGCUGUUUCUCAAGGGUUGACAGCUCUGCAGAUCGGAUUGUUGGCGUCAUAUAAGUGGGAGGAAGAUUUAGAUUACAACUUGCAUUGUAUUGUUGCUAGUGUUCAAAGGGAAGACAACAAUUUUGUUGAGAGUGUGGGAACACGAAUAGAGCAACGCUUGAGGGAAUUUCAUGAGAACCUACAUGGGAACGCUUGAGGGAAUUUCACAUUUGCUUAUUAUUAGGAUGGUAUUGGCCUAUUAGGGUUUGCUUUUAAUUGUACUUUUGGAUUUUUUAGAUUUAAUUUUCUUGUUUAAUGUUAUUGGGCUUAUAAAUUUAUGAAAUCUGAAACAUUAUUUUGUUAUGCAACCAGGAGACGAUAUUUUGUUUUUACAAAUAAAUUAAAUGAUGAUGUUUGAACUUUACGGUUUUAUUAAUUUAGUAUUAAAGUUAUUUAGUUUUAUAAUCGUGGUGCAAAUAAAAAAAUAGUGAUUUGAUAAAAUAAUAAAAUAUAACCCUAAUACUACCAAAAUAAUGAUAUUACAAAUUUAUAUUAAUAUUGAUCUAAAAUUAGUUCCUCCGUAUUACCGUUUAGUAAUAUUUUAACUUUUAUGAGUUUAAAUAUGAUGACCCGUGUUAUAUAAGGGAUUAAAUUUUAUUUAGUACAAAAAGAUUUUAUAUUAUAU
rnacentral:sRNA from 1 species